CCUACGGGAGGCAGCAGUGGGGAAUCUUGCGCAAUGGGCGAAAGCCUGACGCAGCAACGCCGCGUGCGGGAAGAAGGCUCUCGGGUUGUAAACCGCUUUCAGCAGGAACGAAAAUGACGGUACUUGCAGAAGAAGGUGCGGCCAACUACGUGCCAGCAGCCGCGGUGACACGUAGGCACCAAGCGUUGUCCGGAUUUAUUGGGCGUAAAGAGCUCGUAGGCGGUUCGGUAAGUCAGGUGUGAAAACUUUGGGCUCAACCCAAAGCCUGCAUCUGAUACUGCUGUGACUAGAGUUCGGUAGGGGAGCGGGGAAUUCCUAGUGUAGCGGUGAAAUGCGCAGAUAUUAGGAGGAACACCGGUGGCGAAGGCGCCGCUCUGGGCCGAAACUGACGCUGAGGAGCGAAAGCGUGGGUAGCAAACAGGAUUAGAUACCCUGGUAGUCCACGCCGUAAACGUUGGGCACUAGGUGUGGGUUUCAACCAACGAAAUCCGCGCCGUCGCUAACGCAUUAAGUGCCCCGCCUGGGGAGUACGGCCGCAAGGUUAAAACCUCAAAGAUAGUAGGACGNGNGAGACGCGACGACGACGACGAGGAGGAGG
rnacentral:rRNA from 1 species